GAUGCCUUAAAUGUGAAGCAAUAUGAUAUUUCAAGUAGUAGCAAUUCCUUAACCAAAGACCAUUCAUUUGUUCAUGCAUUUGUGUAUUUAAGAAGUAUUUCCUAACCACCUGCUGAGUGUAUGACAUUGUACUAGGUAUGGGAAUACAGCAGUGAAAAAAAGCUUGUCUCUGUCAUCUCAAAUAAUCUACUAAUAAUUAAACAUGUGCUACUGACAUUCUUCCAGUUUUACCCUAAAAACCUGCUUAUAUGAUAUUUUAGUGGAUCAUGGGGUGGGCAAAGAUGGCUACAUAAGAAAAAGUAAAAUGAAUUAUUCUCAGAAAUGUCAUGGUAUGAAAAGAACUUGCAAGUCAGACAGUGUGCUGUAAGAAAUAGGAUUAUAAAAAAGACCAACUAUUCUUUAGAUAUACAAAGAACUAUCAGACAGCUAACAGGUGUCUUAGAAAAAAAAAAAAAAGCCGGAAGUGAAGAUACAGAAUGGACUUUUGAGAGAACAGUCAACAAUCUUUUGAAUUUACGAUCUUGCCCACAAGGGGGUGCAUCUUCCUAACACAUUCACAUUUCCUGCUGAUAGUCAUCCCUUCAGUGUGACCUUAACCUUUCCUCACACUAAGAAGACAAGACCCAAGGACACCAGAGGGUCUAAAAAUGAACUCUUUUCCAGGACAAGCGAUUGCACUAUUCUUAAUGUUUGGGGGAAUCAAUGGAGAUUCAGUGGUCCAGACAGAAGGCCAAGUGCUCCUCUCUGAAGGGAAUUCCCUGAUUGUGAACUGCUCCUAUGAAAGCACACAGUACCCUUCCCUUUUCUGGUAUGUCCAAUAUCCUGGAGAAGGUCCACAGCUCCUCCUGAAAGCCAUGAAGGACAAUGACAAGGAAAGCAACAAAGGUUUUGAAGCCACAUACCGCAAAGAAACCACUUCUUUCCACUUGGAGAAAGACUCAGUUCAAGAGUCAGACUCAGCUGUGUACUUCUGUGCUCUGAGUGACACAGUGACAGGGACUGCAGGGGAAGCUGAGCACAAACUCUGAGCAGCACGAGGGGCCCGGCUGCUGAGUGUCAGCCACUGUGAUCCACUCUGGUUAGGCACCAGGAACUACUCUACUAUUGUUGUUGCCCACCACUCAGCCCAGGCACUCUUAGUGUGAAAGCCAUCUAAAUAAACUCUAAAACACGAUAGAAUAACUAAAAGUAGAAAUGCCUCACACCAGAUACUUUAACAAUGAGAGUGAAAACAGAAUGACACCAUAGUUCUUCAACCUUGUUUGAAAUUUGUGAUUUAAAAAGUAUACAACCUUGAGAUAAAUGAAAUGGUCUAGCUGUUCAUCCCUGUAUAAAAUGUAGCCUCCUGACCUUGUCUCAGGCCA